GACGAACGCCGGCGGCGUGCCUAAUACAUGCAAGUCGAGCGAAUCUUUAGGAGCUUGCUCCUGAAGGUUAGCGGCGGACGGGUGAGUAACACGUGGGCAACCUGCCUGUAAGACUGGGAUAACUUCGGGAAACCGGAGCUAAUACCGGAUAAUCCUUUUCUUCACAUGAAGGAAAGCUGAAAGACGGUUUCGGCUGUCACUUACAGAUGGGCCCGCGGCGCAUUAGCUAGUUGGUGAGGUAACGGCUCACCAAGGCAACGAUGCGUAGCCGACCGGGAAGGGUGAUCGGCCACACUGGGACGGAGACACGGCCCAGACUCCUACGGGAGGCAGCAGUAGGGAAUCUUCCGCAAUGGACGAAAGUCUGACGGAGCAACGCCGCGUGAGCGAAGAAGGCCUUCGGGUCGUAAAGCUCUGUUGUUAGGGAAGAACAAGUAUCGGAGUAACUGCCGGUACCUUGACGGUACCUAACCAGAAAGCCACGGCUAACUACGUGCCAGCAGCCGCGGUAAAAC
rnacentral:rRNA from 1 species